rnacentral:rRNA from 1 species
AUGGUCGCGUGGCCGUUCCUCGCCGUGCUGCUGCUGCUGCUGGUGGUCCUGCUCCGCUGCUCGCCGUGCCAAGGCCGCAAGCUGCUGGCGACGGAGGAGCAGGGCGGCAAGGUGAUGCACUUCGAAGGCGGCCUGUUGCUCAUAGUGUCGCCGAGCCCCGGCGGCGACAACGAUGGCGGCAAGGUGGCAUCGGCAGCGGCGGCGGCCCCGAGGGGGUUCUCGAGGGCCGCGCGGUCGAUGCGCUCCGUGCCCAGCCCCGGCGUCGGGCAUUAA